UACGUAGGGUGCGAGCGUUAAUCGGAAUUACUGGGCGUAAAGCGUGCGCAGGCGGUGAUGUAAGACAGUUGUGAAAUCCCCGGGCUCAACCUGGGAACUGCAUCUGUGACUGCAUUGCUGGAGUGCGGCAGAGGGGGAUGGAAUUCCGCGUGUAGCAGUGAAACGCGUAGAUAUGCGGAGGAACACCGAUGGCGAAGGCAAUCCCCUGGGCCUGCACUGACGCUCAUGCACGAAAGCGUGGGGAGCAAACAGG
rnacentral:rRNA from 1 species